GACGAACGCUGGCGGCGUGCCUAAUACAUGCAAGUAGGACGCAGUUGCGAACGGGUGAGUCACGCGUAGGUCACUACAUAUUCGAGGGGGAUAACUAUUGGAAACGAUAGCUAAUACCGCAUACUAGUAGAUGGACCUGCGUUGUAUUAGCUAGUAGGUAGGGUAAUGGCCUACCUAGGAAACGUUACAUAGCCGACCUGGGAGGGUGAUCUGCCAACCUGGUAAUGAGACACGGCCCAGACUCCGACGGGAGGCAGCAGUAGGGAAUCUUCGGCAAUGGGGGGAACACUGACCGAGAAACGCCGCGUGAGUGAAGAAGGUUUUCGGAUCGUAAAGCUCUGUUGUUAAGGAAGCGGUACUUAACCAGAAAGGGACGGCUAACUACGUGCCAGCAGCCGCGGUAAUAC
rnacentral:rRNA from 1 species